AUAUUAAUAAGUUAAAAAAAAACUAGUAACCUUCAAAGUUAAUAAUAUAAAUUUUAUUGUUUAAUAUA
rnacentral:tRNA from 1 species